CUGCGAAUGGCUCAUUAUAUCAGUUAUAGUUUAUUUGAUAGUCCCUUUACUUGGAUAACCGUAGUAAUUCUAGAGCUAAUACAUGUGCAAAGUCCCGACUUCACGGAAGGGAUGUAUUUAUUAGAUAUAACCAACCUCGCAAGUUGAUUCAUAGUAACCAUCCGAUCGCGUAAGCGACGUUUCAUUCAAGUUUCUGCCCUAUCAGCUUUCGAUGGUAGGGUAUUGGCCUACCAUGGCGUUAACGGGUAACGGAGAAUUAGGGUUCGAUUCCGGAGAGGGAGCCUGAGAAACGGCUACCACAUCCACGGAAGGCAGCAGGCGCGUAAAUUACCCAAUCCUGACACAGGGAGGUAGUGACAAGAAAUAACAACACGGAACCCAUUGGGUUCUGUUUUGUAAUGAGUACAAUUUACAACUCUUAACGAGUAUCAAUUGG
rnacentral:rRNA from 1 species